UACGAAGGGGGCUAGCGUUGCUCGGAAUCACUGGGCGUAAAGGGCGCGUAGGCGGCCAUUCAAGUCAGAGGUGAAAGCCCAAGGCUCAACCUUGGAACUGCCUUUGAUACUGUUUGGCUUGAGACCGGUAGAGGUAAGUGGAACUGCGAGUGUAGAGGUGAAAUUCGUAGAUAUUCGCAAGAACACCAGUGGCGAAGGCGGCUCACUGGACUGGUAUUGACGCUGAGGUGCGAAAGCGUGGGGAGCAAACAGG
rnacentral:rRNA from 1 species